CCUACGGGUGGCAGCAGUGAGGAAUAUUGGUCAAUGGCCGGAAGGCUGAACCAGCCAAGCCGCGUGAGGGAGGAAGGCGCAGAGCGUCGCAGACCUCUUUUGCCGGGGGACAAAAGGCCGGACUCGUCCGGUCCUGAGGGUACCCGGAGCAAAAGCAUCGGCUAACUCCGUGCCAGCAGCCGCGGUAAUACGGAGGAUGCGAGCGUUAUCCGGAUUCAUUGGGUUUAAAGGGUGCGCAGGCGGGCUUUUAAGCCGGUGGUGAAAUCGCGGGGCUCAACCCCGCCGAGCCGUCGGAACUGGGGAUCGUGAGUGCGGUAGAAGCAUGCGGAAUGCGUGGUGUAGCGGUGAAAUGCAUAGAUAUCGCGCAGAACCACGAGUGCGAAGGCAGC
rnacentral:rRNA from 1 species